rnacentral:rRNA from 1 species
UAGAGUUUGAUCCUGGCUCAGAUUGACCCUUUAAGGCAUGCCUUACACAUGCAAGUCGAACGGCAGCACGCCCUUACCUGGUGGCGAGUGGCGAACGGGUGAGUAUUGCAUCGGAACGUGCCAUUGAGUGGGGGAUAACGUAGCGAAAGUUGCGCUAAUACCGCAUAUUCUGUGAGCAGGAAAGCAGGGGACCGCAAGGCCUUGCGCUCUUUGAGCGGCCGAUGUCAGAUUAGCUAGUUGGUGAGGUAACGGCUUACCAAGGCGACGAUCUGUAGCGGGUCUGAGAGGAUGAUCCGCCACACUGGAACUGAGACACGGUCCAGACUCCUACGGGAGGCAGCAGUGGGGAAUUUUGGACAAUGGGCGCAAGCCUGAUCCAGCCAUGCCGCGUGAGUGAAGAAGGCCUUCGGGUUGUAAAGCUCUUUCGGCCGGGAAGAAAUCGCAUGGGUUAAUACCCUGUGUGGAUGACGGUACCGGAAUAAGAAGCACCGGCU